GACGAACGCUGGCGGCGUGCUUAACACAUGCAAGUCGAGCGGUAAGGCCCUUCCGGGGGUACACGGGCGGCGAACGGGUGAGUAACACGUGGGUGACCUGCCCUCAGCUCUGGGAUAAGCCUGGGGAAACCGGGUCUAAUACCGGAUAUGACUCCAUGACGCAUGUUGUGGGGUGGAAAGCCUUGUGCGGCUGAGGAUGGGCCCGCGGCCUAUCAGCUUGUUGGUGGGGUGAUGGCCACCAAGGCGACGACGGGUAGCCGGCCUGA
rnacentral:rRNA from 1 species